UACGGAGGGUGCAAGCGUUAUCCGGAUUCACUGGGUUUAAAGGGUGCGUAGGCGGGUUGGUAAGUCAGUGGUGAAAUCUUCAAGCUUAACUUGGAACUGCCGUUGAUACUAUCAAUCUUGAAUAUUGUGGAGGUAAGCGGAAUAUGUCAUGUAGCGGUGAAAUGCUUAGAUAUGACAUAGAACACCAAUUGCGAAGGCAGCUUACUACACAAAUAUUGACGCUGAGGCACGAAAGCGUGGGGAUCAAACAGG
rnacentral:rRNA from 1 species